rnacentral:rRNA from 1 species
AACGAACGCUGGCGGCGUGCCUAACACAUGCAAGUCGAGCGCGAAAGUUCCUUCGGGAGCGAGUAGAGCGGCGGACGGGUGAGUAAUACAUAGGUAAUCUACCUUCGAGCUUGGGAUAACCCCGCGAAAGUGGGGCUAAUACCGGAUAAGACCACGUAAUUAUUUUACGGGGUAAAAGGUGGCUUAUUUUUUAAAUGAGCUAUCACUUGAGGAUGAGCCUGUGGCCUAUCAGCUAGUUGGCGGGGUAAGAGCCCACCAAGGCUAUGACGGGUAGCUGGUCUGAGAGGACGACCAGCCACACUGGGACUGGGACACGGCCCAGCCUCCUACGGGAGGCAGCAGUGGGGAAUAUUGGGCGAUGGGCGAAAGCCUGACCCAGCGACGCCGCGUGGGCGAUGAAGGCCUUCGGGUUGUAAAGCCCUGUCAUGCGGAAAGAACGACCCUGAGACGCAUACUCUCAGGGAGUGACGGUACCGCAGGAGGAAGCACCGGCUAACUCCGUGCCAGCAGCCGCCGUAA